rnacentral:rRNA from 1 species
CUGAGUGCGAAAGCGUGGGAGCAAACGGAUUAGAUACCCCGGUAGUCCACGCCGUAAACGAUGUCUACUAGCCGUUGGAGGACUUGAUCCUUUAGUGGCGCAGCUAACGCGAUAAGUAGACCGCCUGGGGAGUACGGUCGCAAGAUUAAAACUCAAAUGAAUUGACGGGGGCCCGCACAAGCGGUGGAGCAUGUGGUUUAAUUCGAAGCAACGCGAAGAACCUUACCUACUCUUGACAUCCAGUGAACUUUUGAGAGAUCAAUUGGUGCCUUCGGGAACACUGAGACAGGUGCUGCAUGGCUGUCGUCAGCUCGUGUUGUGAAAUGUUGGGUUAAGUCCCGUAACGAGCGCAACCCUUGUCCUUAGUUACCAUCAUUAAGUUGGGGACUCUAAGGAGACUGCCGGUGACAAACCGGAGGAAGGCGGGGACGACGUCAAGUCAUCAUGGCCCUUACGAGUAGGGCUACACACGUGCUACAAUGGCAUGUACAAAGGGUUGCCAAGCCGCGAGGUGGAGCUAAUCCCAUAAAGCAUGUCGUAGUCCGGAUUGGAGUCUGCAACUCGACUCCAUGAAGUCGGAAUCGCUAGUAAUCGUGAAUCAGAAUGUCACGGUGAAUACGUUCCCGGGCCUUGUACACACCGCCCGUCACACCAUGGGAGUGGGUUGCUCCAGAAGUAGAUAGCUUAACCUUCGGGAGGGCGUUUACCACGGAGUGAUUCAUGACUGGGGUGAAGUCGUAACAAGGUAGCCGUA